rnacentral:rRNA from 1 species
GACGAAGGGGGCUAGCGUUGUUCGGAAUUACUGGGCGUAAAGCGCACGUAGGCGGAUCGUUAAGUCGGAGGUGAAAUCCUGGAGCUCAACUCCAGAACUGCCUUCGAUACUGGCGAUCUUGAGUCCGGAAGAGGUGAGUGGAACUCCUAGUGUAGAGGUGGAAUUCGUAGAUAUUCGCAAGAACACCAGUGGCGAAGGCGGCUCACUGGCCCGAUACUGACGCUGAGGCACGAAAGCGUGGGGAGCAAACAGG